AAAUUGAAGAGUUUGAUCAUGGCUCAGAUUGAACGCUGGCGGCAGGCCUAACACAUGCAAGUCGAACGGUAACAGAAAGAAGCUUGCUUCUUUGCUGACGAGUGGCGGACGGGUGAGUAAUGUCUGGGAAACUGCCUGAUGGAGGGGGAUAACUACUGGAAACGGUAGCUAAUACCGCAUAACGUCGCAAGACCAAAG
rnacentral:rRNA from 1 species